rnacentral:rRNA from 1 species
UAAGGAAUAUUGGACAAUGGGGGCAACCCUGAUCCAGCCAUGCCGCGUGAGUGAUGAAGGCCUUCGGGUUGUAAAGCUCUUUUAGAUGUGACGAUGAUGACGGUAGCAUCAGAAAAAGCUCCGGCUAACUUCGUGCCAGCAGCCGCGGUAAUACGAAGGGAGCGAGCGUUGUUCGGAAUCACUGGGCUUAAAGCGUACGUAGGCGGACAGGAAAGUCAGGAGUGAAAGCCCUGGGCUUAACCCGGGAAUUGCUUUUGAAACUCCCUGUCUGGAAUCCGGUAGAGGUUGGCGGAACUCCGAGUGUAGAGGUGAAAUUCGCAGAUAUUCGGAAGAACACCAGUGGCGAAGGCGGCCAACUGGACCGGUAUUGACGCUGAGGUACGAAAGCGUGGGUAGCAAA